rnacentral:misc_RNA from 1 species
GAUGAAGAACGCAGCGAAAUGUGAUACGUAAUGUGAAUUGCAGAAUUCAGUGAAUCAUCGAGUCUUUGAACGCACAUUGCGCCCCCUGGUAUUCCGGGGGGCAUGCCUGUCCGAGCGUCAUUGCUGCCCUCAAGCACGGCUUGUGUGUUGGGCCUCCGUCCUCCUCCCGGGGGACGGGCCCGAAAGGCAGCGGCGGCACCGCGUCCGGUCCUCGAGCGUAUGGGGCUUCGUCACCCGCUCUUGUAGGCCCGGCCGGCGCUUGCCGACACAUCAAUCUUUUUUCCAGGUUGACCUCGGAUCAGGUAGGGAUACCCUCUGAACUUAAGCAUAUCAAUAAGCGGAGGA